ACAUUUGUCAUGAAUUAUGGUGCUAUCGGUUUAAAACUUCAUUUAUACUUUUAGCUUAAUAGGGAAUCUCGUAAAGCAAUUUUUUUUGCCCUAAUCGAGAACUGUCCCCGCAACUGUAAGUCUUAUCCAAAUAAUUUUAUUAAAGAUUAGAUGGAAACUGAUUGCUCAAUUCUAGGCAUACUUAGCUUUACCACUGCUUAAAUUUUACGAGCGGGAAGGUGUUGUAAUCAGUGAGACAAGUCAGGAGACCUGCCUUAAUUUAUGUGUUUUGC
rnacentral:ncRNA from 1 species